rnacentral:rRNA from 1 species
UACGGAGGGUGCAAACGUUGCUCGGAAUUAUUGGGCGUAAAGCGCACGUAGGCGGCCGACUAAGUCGGGUGUGAAAGCCCAGGGCUCAACCCUGGAAGUGCAUUCGAAACUGGUCGGCUUGAAUAUGGAAGAGGGUCGCGGAAUUCCCGGUGUAGAGGUGAAAUUCGUAGAUAUCGGGAGGAACACCAGUGGCGAAGGCGGCGACCUGGGCCAAUAUUGACGCUGAGGUGCGAAAGCGUGGGGAGCAAACAGG